GUUCUUGUCCGUGCUUCCUGUCUAGUAUAAGUGUUUCCAGCAGCAGCAUAACUUUGUUCUUGGAUAACAUAAACUGCAAAUUCUACAUUUCUCCCUUGAAUUCCCUAGACCACGGUUUUUGCCCCACAGGAAGACAAGAAAUCUCGAAAUCUUAAUUUCUUUCUUUUUUUGAAUGCAAGAAAGAUUUUUAAUUUUUGCAAGAAUGGGUGCUUAUAUGAAUAGACUCACCUUUGAAAUUUCAAAGGCAGCAUUUUAUUUCCUAUACAGAAGCACAAGUCCCUCCCCAAUUCCCCAUUAAUUCGAUGUUACUGAGGUUACACAAUAUGAAUGUCUACCUCUCAUUACAUAGCAAUUACCAUCUCCAAGAGGGACUCCAAGUCCCAUUAUAGAAAGGGGGAAGGUAACAAAGGAGGGCUGAGGACCAAGAACAAAUCUUUUCAAGUCUCAGGCCACCAUUCCAGAUUACAAAAGUCAGGAGCUUUCAUUUUUGGGGGGGAAGAUAAACUCCACCUUUGAUUAUUUCUUGAUGUCCUAGUGGGUUUCACUUUUCUAAUUUAAGUUUCCUUUCGUUUCCACAAGAUUUGCUCUUUAUUGAGCUAAUAUGAAUUAUUCAAGCAUCAAGCAAAAGAAAAAGAUACCAGAGAUUUUAUCAUCAAAAUAAAAUGGAGACUCUCAAGGCACUAGUCUAAGGGGGAAAAAAGCAAAAAACAAAAAACCAUGAGAAUCCCAGGGAAAAGAACCUAUAUGUAUAAAAAUAUCAGCAGCUUUUUGUGGUGACAAAGAACUGGAAGGUGAUAUCCAUGAACUGGGAAAUGGUUAAAGCAAUUGUGUUAUAUGAAUUUAAUAGAAUGCUAUAAGACAUUACAAGCAGGUGAAAUUUCAGAAAAACCUGGAAAGAUUUGCAUGAACUGAUGCAAAGUGAAGUCAGCAGAACCAGGAAAUACUUUACAGAGUAACAGCAACACUGUGACAUCAACUGUGACUGCCUUGGCUCUUCUCAGUGAAUGGGAAAAGUUUUCUAUUUCUUCAAAAAGAAACUAACAAUUAACCAAGCUAUAGGAUCAGGUUCCUGUUUUCCCCUGCCUUUCUUAACAAUUCCAAGGUAGGGAUAGACAGAACAGUUCUGGAAAUGUAUAGAACAAACUGAUCUUGUCUACAUCUACCCAUCCCAUACUUUGGUAACAUAACUCAAGGUCAGCAAAAGACAUGUCUUUGUUUAAAUUUUGAAUUUAUGUGUUGUUUCCCAUUUCCCACUGAUCUAGCACCUGUUUUCCCUGUCAGUAUCAGAUUGUAUAAUGAUUAAUGCUUCCUAAUAUAGUUUUAAAAAUAGCUUUCAUGCUUAGAAUGUAAGGACAUACUCUCCGCCAAUAAGGAUAAGCCACCAAGGGCAAGAAGGGUUAAUAUUGCAUCAGGGAACAUAUAUUGUUUAUGAUGCUUAUGCUCAGAGCCUCACUUUUAUCUCUUGUAUGGUAGAGUGAUGUCUGCUUCUCAUGAGAAACAUAUAAAAACUUUUUCUUUAGACCUUGAGAGAUCUCUGAGACUUAUUGAGUAGGUUAGUUAACCACACAUCAGCAAUAUAAUAGUUUUUUUUCUUUUUUUUUAAACAAUAUCACUAAUAUGGGAAUGUUUUACAUUAUUGCACAUAUAUAAUCUGUAUCAAAUUGCUUACCAUCUUAGGGAGGAAGAAAAGAAAGGAGAGAGAAAAUUUGGAACUCAAAAAAUUUUUUAAAAGAGAGAAAAAGAUGGGGAAAAAAUCUCUUUACAUGUAACUGGGAAAAAAAUACCAUUUAAAAUAUACCAAUAUAUCCAGGAUUAUGGGACACAAUAGUAUAGGGAUGUGAAGAACAUAUGUAAAUAGAGUGCCCCAAAGAGAACAAAAAGGACAGUUCAUGAGUUUUAAAUUGUUAUGAAUAAUUAGUCGGUCAGUAAGCAUAUAUAAAGUGCCUAAUGUGUGCCAGGUACUAUGCUAAAUGCUAAGUUCCUGGAAAUGUUUUGCUAAUGAUGAAAGCAGGCACUUUUUUUUUUUUUUUUUUUUUUGUAAAUCAAAAAACAUCCUGUCACGAAAGUCAUUUUUACUAAAGAUUAUCUCCUUAUUUUUUCCAACCCCUGGAGUGCCUGCUCAAUAUAAGAACUAGAGAGAGCUUUUUAAAUGUUUUGAUUAUAAUAAAACUUCAAUAAGAUAAUUGAAUAGGGGGUGGUUAGAAGUUCAUUUUUACUAAGUAAGCCCUUUAUAAGUAAUCUAAAUUAAGAAUAUAAACCAAAGUGCAGAAAAGAAUGCUUAAAAUUUUGAAGAAAGCAAUUUCUAGCCCUUCUGGCUCUUCAGGCACAUGCUUAUAUUAUACAAUGAGCAUAACUAAUGACAAGUCAUUUUAUCUAUUCACACACACAGCUCUGGCAGAACACAAAUUGCCAAAGAUAUGAAGCCUAUGAUUGAAGGCCUAGAGAGUGAAAUUUUGUUUCUUAUAUACCCUGGUUCCUUUGGUAAGCAAAGGAACUUUAAAAAUUCAAGGAAAUAUCUUGGGACCCUGAAAAGUACCAAAAGACUGGAGUCAACUCAGCAACUCUGGUUGAAAAAAGGAUGGCAUGAAGGUAGAUUUCUUAACUACAGACUUGUGAUCCUGCAAAUUCCAGAAUGUUUGUUAAAAGAAUCAUUUGUGAGGAUUUAGAAAGGGCCACCAUAGAUUAACAGAAUCCAUCACAGAUUUAGAUCUGAAAGAGAUCCUCAAAGCUGUCUAGUUGGAGCCCCUCACUUAUCCACUUUGAAUGACUAGGACCAGAGAGUUUAGAAAGUAAGUCCUCCCACUUUUCUGAGACAGAGCCAUUAGACUGGUACAGUAUGGAGGAAUAUGACAAACACAGCACACAGAGCUUAUAAUGUGGAAUUUUAAAAGGUCUCCUAGAAUACCUUUAUGGAAAAGAGAAUGGUUAGUGUGGGCUAGAUUGUAAUAUGGCUAGUAAAUUUUUAACUGGUUUAGGAAACAGACCCCAAGAAUGGUGAUUAAUGGACCAAUGUCUAGCACUAUCAAGAAACAUCUCUAUUAGAGUGUUACAAGAUUGUCUGUGGCCGCAUUUUACCCAAUAUUUUUUAGCAGUGACACAUAGUUCAAUCUAUCAAUUAAGAAGUAUUUAUUAAUCACCUUCUGUGUGCAAAAGGCAUGCUCAUACAACUUUUCACUGACAGAAAGCUGGGACUGAAAGUUAACAGACAAGAUGACAGAAUAAGAAUCCCAGAUGUUGGCAGGUUGAAUGACAGGCCAAAUUGAUUAAGAUGAAGCUGAUUUUUGCUUAUUAGCUUUGCCAUGUCAAGAAUAGCAUGUUUAUAGGUUCAUACAUUGGAAACAGAAGGGACUUUGAAUAUUUAAAUCCCUAAAAAGGAUGUGAUAUGAAGAACUUGGAUUCUCCUCAAGCUUAAUUCUUCAUUUUACAGAUAAGGAAACUAAGUUAAAUAAGCCAUCCAGAUCACUCAACCAUCUCUUCUAAUUUUAGGGCCAUAAGCCCAGAAUGUGUUCAACAUGGUUAGCCAUCUUCCGAAAGAAAUGCUUCUACCAGACAGGGCCCCCACCACCCAGGGCUCAUUCUGAUUUGCUACUGUGCUUAGUACCCCAGAGGAAGUUUCAAAGGCCCCCAAUCUUCCUGAUAUUCUUAACAGGAGAGGACUUCCUUAAAACUAAAAAUCUCUUAACGCCAUUACAUUUCUCUCAAACUAAUAUAGACAACAAAAAAACUAUUAAAUUUUAAUUCUCUUUAAAGCCAGCCAUGAUGUACAAAACUGUCUACCAGGAAGCCAGUGCCUCUCUCAGCAGACAUCUCAUCAUCUGCCCUUUAGCUAUCACCAGGGACAGAGAGUCAAAAGUGGACCACACUUCAAAGACCAGAUAAUCUUCCCUUUGGAAGGCUCCCCUGUGGCUGAGCUAUCCAGAAUGGCCUACGGACUAAAAACACUGAAAUGAAACAAGGUAUUCCUGAAAGUUCCAACAAAAUCAGAAAGGAAAAUAUUAACAUGAUGAUAGAGAACUGGGUAGGAGGUGGUGCUUUUGAAGGAAACAAAGGAUUCCAAGGUGGAGAUGCAUUUCCAAAAUGUCCAGCAGGAAGGAGAAGAGAGGAAGAAAUCACAUCUGCAGGGUGACAGGAGGAAAGUUAAGGAGAAAAAGCAGAGCUCUCUGAUCAAGUAUUAAAUACUUUACAGC